GAAAAAUUAGAGUGAUACAGAGAAAGAAUGCAAAGAGUGAGCCAAGAGUUUGAGAAACAGAGAGAGGUCUGAGAGUUGUAGAGGAGGCCGGAAGCUUGAUGCUUUGAUGAUCUAGCGAAGAAACUCUUUUUAUACCUUGAAUGGCUUGUAGUGGUUUUGCUUCAAUGGUUUUUAUUAAAUGUUUUAAUUAAAUGCAUAUGUAUUUUGUUUAUAUACUCACAUGAAUAUGUAUAUUUUGUGAAGCUGUUUUGUUAAACCUCCAUGAAAUUCUUGUUAUGGUUUUUUCUACUGAGACUUUUUGUCUCACCACCCUCCAGUUUCAGGUACCGAAAAUGAACAUGGAUUUCUAGUGUCGGGCUUUGGUGGAAGAGUCGGCGUUGCAGGAUUUAUUUUAUUUAUUUGCAAAAUUUUGUAUAUUUUUGAGGAAAUUGACUUUGUAUAAAAGAGGGCAUUUUUUUUUUUUUUUUUUUGGAUCCUGGGUGUAUUUUGAUGUAUCUGGAUUUGAAUAAAUUGAGGAUUUUAUUAGAAUUUUCAGGUCGUGACACAAUUGUUGCCCUUGACCAACCAGUAUGCUUGUCUUCCUUGCUCAUAGCAUCGUUAGGAAUCCGUCCGUGAAAUAGAGGAGCUGCCGACAGAGACCAAUGAGAACAGAGUAUAGUUCAGCGGGUUGGCAAGGCGGCCAAGGAAGGAACCGGUGAGAGGUGCAGCGAGCUUUGUGCUCGGCUAUGAGUCCGGCAGACUUGUGCGGCGAGGAUGAAGAUGAUGGCAGCAACGAGGAUCUAAGGCGGCGGACAGCGAGGGUCGGGAUUCCAGUGAGGUGCUGAACCGGCGAGAAAGAAAUGUCCAUGAGUUGAGACGAUGAGGUUCCACGAUGGCGAUGGGCUCACAGCGAGAACUGAAAUUUCUAGCCUAAUGUGGGAAUAAUAAGUGGUGGAGCAAGAACGGAAGCUUGAAGCCGUGCUGAACAAAGUGACUAUUUUGCUAUGGCGGCGCUGAAACUUUGGUCCAAAACCAGAAUAAAAUUAACAUCUUAGCAAAUGCUUAAAAGUGUAUACUAAACAUUCCUCUGCCAAACUACCUGAUAUUUGAAACUGAAUCCAAAAUUUUACUAUAAUGAUAUAAGGUAGCGACGCGAAUUUCAGGUAUUAAUUAACCAACCUUGCAGGUUUAAAAGAGUCAAAA